rnacentral:rRNA from 1 species
CCUACGGGGUGCUGCAGUGAGGAAUAUUGGUCAAUGGUCGGGAGACUGAACCAGCCAAGCCGCGUGAGGGAGGAAGGUACAGAGUAUCGUAAACCUCUUUUGUCAGGGAACAAAGGUGGGGACGUGUCCCCGGAUGAGUGUACCUGAAGAAAAAGCAUCGGCUAACUCCGCGCCAGCAGCGGCGGUAAUAGGGGGGAUGCGGGCGUUAUCCGAAUUUAUGGGGUUUAAGGGGUGCGCAGGCGGUCAGUUAGGUCGGCGGGAAAACCCCGGGGCUAAACCCCGACCCGCCGUUGAAACUGGUAGGCUAGAGUUGGAGAGAGGUGUGCGGAAUGCGCGGUGUAGCGGUGAAAUGCGUAGAUAUCGCGCAGAACUCCGAUGGCGAAGGCAGCAUGCCGGCUCCACACUGACGCUGAGGCACGAAAGCGUGGGUAUCGAACAGGAUUAGAUACCCGAGUAGUC